AAAGGCUAUCAAGAACUGCUAACUCCAAACUCUGGUCCUAACCCGCCAGGCCUUUCC
rnacentral:tRNA from 1 species